rnacentral:rRNA from 1 species
CGAUGAAGCUUUUAUGAAUUCUUCGGAAUGAUUAAAAGUGGAUUAGUGGCGGACGGGUGAGUAACGCGUGAGUAACCUGCCUUACACAAGGGGAUAGCCGUUGGAAACGACGAAUAAUACCCUAUAACAUCAAAUAAUCGCAUGAUAAUUUGAUCAAAGAUUCAUCGGUGUAAGAUGGACUCGCGUCUGAUUAGCUAGUUGGUAGGAUAAAAGCCUACCAAGGCAACGAUCAGUAGCCGGCUUGAGAGAGUGUACGGCCACAUUGGGACUGAGACACGGCCCAGACUCCUACGGGAGGCAGCAGUGGGGAAUUUUGCACAAUGGGGGCAACCCUGAUGCAGCGACGCCGCGUGAUUUAGAAGGCCUUCGGGUCGUAAAAAUCUUUUGUAUGGGAAGAAAAUGACAGUACCAUACGAAUAAGGACCGGCUAAUUACGUGCCAGCAGCCGCGGUAAUACGUAAGGUCCGAGCGUUGUCCGGAAUCAUUGGGCGUAAAGGGUACGUAGGCGGAUAAGCAAGUUAGAAGUGAAAUCCUAUAGCUCAACUAUAGUAAGCUUUUAAAACUGUUCAUCUUGAGGUAUGGAAGGGAAAGUGGAAUUCCUAGUGUAGCGGUGAAAUGCGCAGAUAUUAGGAGGAAUACCGGUGGCGAAGGCGACUUUCUGGCCAUAUACUGACGCUGAGGUACGAAAGCGUGGGUAGCAAACAGGAUUAGAUACCCUGGUAGUCCACGCCGUAAACGAUGAGUGUUAGGUGUCUGGAAUAAUCUGGGUGCCGCAGCUAACGCAUUAAACACUCCGCCUGGGGAGUACGCACGCAAGUGUGAAACUCAAAGGAAUUGACGGGGA